CGCGGCACGGCACUGCCGAACGACCGCGCACAGCGCACCGCAGCGAGGGCCCGGGACCGUGCGGGCCGCGGAGGACAGAGCAGCCGUGAGGAGAGGCAGCGGGGCCGGCUGAUGGAGCUUUUAAUUGGGGGCGGGAGGGGGGGGGAGUGGGAGGGAAAGGAAAGGAAGGUCCUCUGGAAAUAUCUUCCGGGAUUAGAACGAGGAGCGCUGGACUCCCAUCUCGAUGCGGCCCUGUAGGAAAGCGCUGCGGGGACCGCGAAAAAGCUGCUCGGAAGGACCCACGGGGCUGAAAACGGGGAUUGGAAAAGAAAAAAAAAAAAAAAGUAGAUGGUGUGUGUGACAAAAAAAGCUGGGUGAUUCUGUUUUCUCAUGCCCUCGCUCCUCCACCAGCUGCACAGCCAAGCGCAGGCUGCUUGGCCCUUAUAACUAUCUUGGCACGGAGUCAAAAGCUGAUAAGCAUUUGGGCGAGACAGCUCAACUGCUGUGCUGGAAGAAAAACAGCUGCCAUGAUUUCUGUUUGAUUGAGAGCGCUUACACACACGCACAAAAAACACAUCGGGCUGCAGAGACGGGCCACGAAUGCCUGAGGAUUCAGCUUCAGAAGAGCAAUGCACGUUUCCUUAAGGGAAAGAAAAAAAAAAAAAAGUUUUAUGCAGUUUUGCCUCCGUUCCUCCUCCCCUUUUUAAGGAAAAUGUACUGCGUAGACUCGCUCCUCUCCUUCCCAUCCCCCUCCAUAACCUCAAGCAAACUCGAGGAAUUGUGCCAAAAGUCCCGUUGCUAGUUACUGAGUGCGUUUUUUUCAAACGUCCCUUUGAUACUUCUUCCCCUUGUGCUUGCCAUGGAAUAUGCAAGUAAGAUAAUCUUUCCAUUACUUACCAAAAGUAAUUAAAAAUGAAAAGGGCUUCUAGCAAACCUUCCUUUUCCUACUUUUUUUUUUUUUUCCCUCUGAAGGGGCAGGAGAAGGGAGGCGAGGGAGAGAAGAAUAUUUUUUCUCUUUGCGGAGUCCAACAUUUGGCUUUUUCCAUUUGUGGCAGAUCACUGUAACGCUAUUGUAAAACAACUUCCUGCCCCUUUUGGCUCCGGUUCCAGAAGCUGCUAGGCUAAGUUCAUAGCGCAAACUUUUUUUCCCCCCUUGCCGAAGAAGAAAGGCAAAAAAAAAUAAAUGUCCUGCAAAUGAUUCUCCUCCUUCUCCGGCUGAUGGACUCACAAGGUGAAUUCAUUGCAGCUCUGUAAGAAUGUCACACAAGAGGCAGCGCUAUCCCAGCUGGAUAAUUCAUGAGCCGAAAGAGAACGCCAUUUUGAGGCUGUCACACAUUUCUGUGUCCAAAGUGGAUAACACCUGCGGAAAGCAUAAGAAUGAUAUUCUCAUGCUGCAGAAAAAGUGUUUUAAUCCUGCAGGUAACAAAAAAGCAACACCAGUACUGAAGAACACAUGGUGAAGUGGAUGGACCUCGUAUUUUCAUUACUAUAUGUACUAGUUUUAGCUAAUGAACAUAAGUGAAUAAUAUACACAUGCUAACCUGACAUUAUCAUCUUUAUUGGAUAGUAGAUAUAGUAAGCAUAGCUUUCCCCUCUGUCUUCUAUUAAAAUGUAAAGCAAGUAGUCUUGGCGAAUUUCAAGUAACGAAUAAAGGAAACAGGAGUGUCUAUUUCAGUAUUGCUGUAUUCAGUGUCCCUUGCUACUGACAUACUAACUUUGUGCCCUUCUUGCUUGGCUCAGCUUUAAAUGCAAGCUUUCAUUAAAAUGGAAUGACAUUGGAGUUGCUUGGCCACUUUUUAAAAUGUUAUUUUAUUAAUAUUUUAAUAAUAAAUAAUUAUUUUGCUAUAUUACAGAAUACAUUUUUAAAUCUACAAGUAGACAACUGGAAAUGUUUGUUUAAACAGCAAAUAAAAUAAGAGAAAGAUGUUAACUUUUUAAUUGAAAUGUCUGGAAUGCCAAGUAAACAAAUUAAAAUGAAGAGAAAGAGAGACAGAAACAGAAAAGACUGCUGUCUCACAGAAAAGACAAUUACAGUACCCUGUAUUGAGUAAAACCAUAUUUCAGCGUGUAAUCUGAAGCAGCCUAAAAGGAGCUGUAAGAAACAUGCAUGUGGACACUGCAGCAAACGGUAUUAGCAGUGCUGUUCCCUAAGCCAUAAGGAAAACCCACUCUGAAAUCUGUUACACCAAAAUGGUAGUCCUUCGGGGAUUUAUUGUGGCAUAAAAAGUGGGAAAAAUAAAAAUCAGUAUGCCCUGAAAUGCCCAAGAGCUGACACCUACUGUAAUGCACAUUUUUACCUUGAUGCUGUGUUUACAUCCAUUUAUGUUCACAGUCUUAUGGAGCCCCAAAGCUUAGUACCAUAGUAUUACUUAUUUCUGUGAUGGCACUGUUGUGAGUUUCCCUGUUCACAUACAGGCCACCUGUGCUCACUGCUUACCCUGCUGGGUUUUACACUGCUUGCCUGUCAUCAGCAAUUAUGAGCUUUUUUUCUUUUUUUUUUUCAUUGGAUAGAAGGAAGGGUGGUGGAAAAGAAGUAUUUUGACUGAAGAUAUGUUUGCAGUUCAAGUAAUUGCUUUAUGAUCUAUCAUUUCAUAGAUUUUAGUGCUGAGCAAAGAAAAGCAUGUAGAAAUGAAAAAUAAUAAACAUCUUUCAGUGAAAUGUGAUGGUUUUCUAUUGUGAAUUUUCCAAAUAAUUUAUCUCAGAUAUAACGUUUAUGAAUGUUCAGUGGUCACAACAAAUAAAAACGAG
rnacentral:lncRNA from 1 species